CACGUAGGCGGUCUGUUAUGUCGGAUGUGAAAGCCCUUGGCUUAACUAAGGAAGUGCAUCCGAAACUGGCAGGCUAGAGUACUAAAGAGGGUCGCGGAAUUCCCGGUGUAGAGGUGAAAUUCGUAGAUAUCGGGAGGAACACCGGUGGCGAAGGCGGCGACCUGGGUAGAUACUGACGCUGAGGUGCGAAAGCGUGGGGAGAAAC
rnacentral:rRNA from 1 species